rnacentral:rRNA from 1 species
AUUGAACGCUGGCGGCAGGCCUAACACAUGCAAGUCGAGCGAGCGGCGGACGGGUGAGUAAUGUAUGGGGACCGCCCCAUUGAUGGGGGUCACUACUGGAAACGGUCGCUAAUACCGCCUACUAACGGAUAACCUAUAUGGGAUUAGCUAGUAGGUGAGGUAAUGGCUCACCUAGGCGACGAUCCCUAGCUGGUCUGAGAGGAUGAUCAGUAACACGGGUACGGAGACACGGACCAGACUCCUACGGAGGCAGCAGUGAGGAAUAUUGCACAAUGGGCGGAAGGCGGUUGCAGCCAUGCCGCGUGUAGGAAGAAGGCCCUAGGGUUGUAAAGUACUUUCAGUCGGGAGGCGGUACCGACAGAAUAAGCACCGGCUAACUCCGUGCCAGCAGCCGCGGUAAUAC